CUUGUGCAAUAUGCAGAUGUUUCUCAGAUUUGUGUCUGUCUCAGGUGGAUGGAUACUUCUGGUGUCAUUCCCUCUCUUCCCUCUGCCUCUCUAUAAUACUUUCUGCAUCUUUCAGCUGCUGCUGUAGAAGUCUCAACUGGGAACAUUGUGCAACUCAUGUGCACAAGAGGAGAGUGGUAUGCCAUGGCAUAGGAAGCUGCGAAUCACUUGAUCCAUCUACCUGGCUUCUGCAGUGCUGAUGUGGUGGCGUGUGCUUGGGCAUCUGUUUGGAGUGAACCCAACUGCUCCUCGUGAGAAGCUGGGGGACAGAGGAACUGCAUGAUCAAGAAUUAGAUGUCCUUUCCUGAAUUGAAUACUGACAACAGGUCCCAGGAUGCUGCCAGAUGAUGGCACUGAAGGAGACCUAUUCCCCGCAGUUUACAGCCUGUCUUGG